UAGGGAAUCUUCCGCAAUGGGCGAAAGCCUGACGGAGCAACGCCGCGUGAGUGAUGAAGGUCUUCGGAUCGUAAAACUCUGUUAUUAGGGAAGAACAUAUGUGUAAGUAACUGUGCACAUCUUGACGGUACCUAAUCAGAAAGCCACGGCUAACUACGUGCCAGCAGCCGCGGUAAUACGUAGGUGGCAAGCGUUAUCCGGAAUUAUUGGGCGUAAAGCGCGCGUAGGCGGUUUUUUAAGUCUGAUGUGAAAGCCCACGGCCCAACCGUGGAGGGUCAUUGGAAACUGGAAAACUUGAGUGCAGAAGAGGAAAGUGGAAUUCCAUGUGUAGCGGUGAAAUGCGCAGAGAUAUGGAGGAACACCAGUGGCGAAGGCGACUUUCUGGUCUGUAACUGACGCUGAUGUGCGAAAGCGUGGGGAUCAAACAGGAUUAGAUACCCUGGUAGUCCACGCCGUAAACGAUGAGUGCUAAGUGUUAGGGGGUUUCCGCCCCUUAGUGCUGCAGCUAACGCAUUAAGCACUCCGCCUGGGGAGUACGACCGCAAGGUUG
rnacentral:rRNA from 1 species